rfam:Takifugu rubripes chromosome, Chr_8
CCGGGGUCCACUCUAGCAGCACAUCAUGUUUUGCAGAUUUGUACAGAAUCACUCCAAAUCAUAAUGUGCUGCCACUGUGAGCCCUGG